rnacentral:lncRNA from 1 species
CAUUUUUGGAGCGGUUCUGUGGAUUAUUGUUAGGAGCCUUUUCUAUCAUUUUUGCUUACUAGCCAUUAUCAUCAUCAUAAACACCAUCCUCUAUCUAUCCAUCUCUCUCUCUCUCUCUCUCUCUCUCUCUCUCUCUCUCUCUCUCUCUCUCUCUCGCUCUCUCUCUCUCUCUCCCUCCCUCCCUCCCCCCUGGCUUGUAGUGUUGAAGAUGUGAAGAGGCUCAUAGUGAUUAUCCAGUGGUUAACUGUCAAUGACCAGACAUAGCUAUGAGAUCUGAAGGCUUGCCCAGAAACAUUUGUUUCUUUUAAGAUAUGUUUAUUGAAUCUUAAAUCAUUUUUGUUCCUUAGUUAUUCUAUGGUUGUAUUUUCUUGGUUUCCACAUAUUUAUUAUGCUCCUCCUUUAUUAUGUCCUUUAUUUACCAUUGCUUCGAAGUUGCGACUGCAUUUCAUUGUAGUAGUGAUGCUGUGUUGACGAUCAGAUCUACUCUUUUGUCUAUUCUGUGCGUCUGCAUGAUAUAACUGCAUAUGCCCACUCGUUUUUGUUUAUUGUUUUUAACCAUGUUUUCUAGUGUAUCUAUUUUGCUGCCUCAGGAAGAUGGUUCAAUGUUUAUUAGCCUAAUGAUGGAAAACUCAUUUUUGGAGCGGUUCUGUGGAUUAUUGUUAGGAGCCUUUUCUAUCAUUUUUGCUGUACUAGCCAUUAUCAUCAUCAUAAACACCAUCCUCUCUCUCUGUCUCUCUGUCUCUCUGUCUCUCUCUCUCACUCUCUCUCUGUCUCUCUCUCUCUCUCUGUGGCUUGUACGGUUGGAGAUGUGAAGAGGCUCGUAGUGAUAAUCCAGUGGUUAACCGUCAAUGACCAGAUAUAGCUAUGAGAUCUGAAGGCUUGCCCAGAGACAUUUGUUCCUUUUAAGAUAUGGUUAUUGAAUCUUAAAUCAUUUUUGUUCCUCAGUUAUUCUAUGGUUGUAUUUUCUUGGUUUCCACAUUUUUUACACUCCUCCUUUAUUAUGUCCUUUAUUUACCAUUGCAUCAAAGUUGCGACUGCGUUUUGUUGUAGUAGUGAUGCUGUGUUAACGAUCAGAUCUACUCUUUUGUCUAUUCUGUGUCUCCAUGAUAUAACUGUAGAUGCCCACUCGUUUUUGUUUUUUUUAAACUGUGUUUUCUAGUGUAGCUAUUUUGCUGCCUCAGGACGAUGGUUCAAUUUUUAUUAGCCUAAUGAUGGAAAACUCAUUUUUGGAGCGGUUCUGUGGAUUAUUGUUAGGAGCCUUUUCUAUCAUUUUUGCUUACUAGCCAUUAUCAUCAUCAUAAACACCAUCCUCUAUCUAUCCAUCUCUCUCUCUCUCUCUCUCUCUCUCUCUCUCUCUCUCUCUCGCGCGGGCGUGUAGAGAUGAAGAUAAAAAGAGGCUCAUAGUGAUAAUCCAGUGGUUAAAUGUCAAUGAAUAUAUAUAGCUAUGAGAUCUGAAGGCUUGUCUAUAGACAUUUUUUGUCCUUCUAAGAUAUGCUUAUUAAAUUGUAAAUCACUUUUCGUCCUUAGUUAUUCUAUGGUGUUUUAUCUUCAUUUCUACAUAUCUAUUACGCUCCUCUUUAUUAUGCCCCUUAUUGACCAUUAUAUGGAAUUUGUGACUGCAUUUCGUUUUAAACAUUUGCACUGAAUAAUAUGUAUUUCCCAUGUGGUGCAAAUAUCCUUCCCAAGGUGCCCUUGAAACGCUGAUAAAAUUAAUGUGAUGGAACUUCAGUCAACUGCAAAUAGUAGAGCGUCCUGGAAUGUGGUUAUUUUGACAUUGUCAAUGGCACAGUUAAGAGUUUCAAUUGGUUUGUUUUUCUUUUGGUUUGGUGUGACUAUUUGGCAACUAUUGUAUGAAAUUUUGUUUGCUAGUGCUAGUUUAGAUAUUUAAGGUGUAUGGCUAACUGUAUGAGAUUCCAUAGAUUAAAUUGUGUUUGAUGGUAGAUUCCAUUUUAGUACUCCAUUGAUCUGAUCUUUGUUGGAAUUCAAAUAAAAGGUGAAGUUAUUAUUGUAGGUUUGAGCAUAUGAGACUUUAAAAAACAACGCUGUACUAAUGAUCAGAUCUAGUGUCUUUUGUUUAUUCUGUGCCUUUCCACGUUCUACUUGUGGUUGUCUGAGUUUAUAUUUCUUGCCUUUUUUAUUUUUUGGGAUUACCUUGUAAUGUAAUCUAACAAAUUUGCUGCCUCAGAAAAUUGGUGCAAUUUUUUAUUAGCCUGGUGAUGGAAACCUCUUUUUUUUGUUAUGAUUUUUAUAGCACUUUAUAUUAUAAGACUGCAGGUACCUGAAUAGUUUUUUGUAACACAGUUUCUUAUUACUUUCAAUGAGCUUUAAAAUUUAAAUCUGGUUUUCAUUUGUGAAGUACAGAACAGUUAUGAACUGUUUGAGUACCUUUGAGCUUACUUGAUGUCUCAAUUUUCUUACUAGAUAUAUUUAUAUAAACUAAAAUCUUUAGAAUAUUUAAGAAUAUAUAUUAAUUUAUAAUUUAUAUAUUAAUUAUUUAAUUGAAAUGUAAUUUAAUGGUGUCAGGCAUUUGAUGUCAAGUUGGUUCAAAAUCCGCCAAUGUCUAUGACCAUGGUUUGUAUUAUGGCUUGUUGUGUAUAAUGGCAUAGUUUUUAAGUGGAUUUUAAAAUUUUCUUUUCCGUGGUCUGGGUUAAUUGCUAAGUGGGACUUUGGUGAACAAUGAUACAUGCAUUGGGCUUGGAGCAGUUUAUGACUGCAGCCAUUGAUGGAAAUGCAACCUAGAAAGCUAUAUAUGACCCCUGUAGAAAUCCUUGCAUUCCUGUGAUACGGGUGUUGCAAUGUUAGGAUGAAAUUUUUAUCUGCUAGUUGUAGGGGUAUGGCUGACUGCAAGAGAUUCCAUACAAGUAAAUUGUGUUUAUCUGGUAUAUUUUCAAAUUGGGUGUUCAGGACAUGGUGUUGAUUGAAAAUCUACUCAUGCUCAUGGCUACGGUCGUAUUUGUGGCGAGUAAUUUAUAGUGAAUUGGUAUUAAAAUCGAGUGAUGUACAUGCAUGCACUGAGCUCCGAGCUGUGGUUAUUGAUGGAAAUGCAGGCAGCUUAGAAAACUAUAUAUGAGCCUCCAUGAAAUCCUUUUGCUUUUCUGUUCGCAGGUGUUGGAUUUAAAAUGAAAUUUCUGUUUGGGCUAGAUUGGAUUCUUAAGGUAUGGAUUGGACUUUGUAGUAUUAAACUGUGUAUGGAAGUGGAUUUUGUGUGAUUACAAUCAUUGGAUCAGUUGCACUCCUUUGGCCUGAUGAUGGAAAACUCAUUUCUGGGAGCGGUACUAUGGAUUAUUAUAAGUAUGAGCCUUUUCUAUCAUUCUUUCCAUGCUAGUCCUCAUCAUCAUCAUCAUCAUCAUCAUCAUCACCACCACUCUCUUUCUCUCUCUCUCUCUCUCUCUCUCUCUCUCUCUCUCUCUGUGGCAUGCAUGGCCGAAGAUGUGAAGAGGCUCAUACUGAUAAUCCAGCAGCUAACCGUCGAUGACCAGAUAUAGCUAUGAGAUCUGAAGGCUUA